CAGGGGAGCGAAAGGGAUUAGAUACCCCCUGUAGUCCUGCCCGUAAACGAUGAACACUAGGUGUCGGGGGAAUCGACCCCCUCGGUGUCGUAGCCAACGCGUUAAGUGUUCCGCCUGGGGAGUACGCACGCAAGUGUGAAACUCAAAGGAAUUGACGGGGGCCCGCACAAGCGGUGGAGUAUGUGGUUUAAUUCGAUGCAACGCGAAGAACCUUACCAGGGUUUGACAUCCUGCGAAUCCCUUGGAAACGAGGGAGUGCCUUCGGGAGCGCAGAGACAGGUGGUGCAUGGCUGUCGUCAGCUCGUGUCGUGAGAUGUUGGGUUAAGUCCCCGCAACGAGCGCAACCCACGUCGUUAGUUGCCAGCAUUCAGUUGGGCACUCUAGCGAGACCGCCGGUGAUAAACCGGAGGAAGGUGUGGAUGACGUCAAGUCAUCAUGCCCCUUACAUCCUGGGCUACACACGUACUACAAUGCUACGGACAAAGGGUUGCAAGCUCGCGAGAGUUAGCUAAUCCCAUAAACCGUGGCUCAGUUCAGAUCGUAGGCUGCAACUCGCCUACGUGAAGGAGGAAUCGCUAGUAAUCGCAGGUCAGCAUACUGCGGUGAAUACGUUCCCGGGCCUUGUACACACCGCCCGUCACACCAUGGAAGUUGGCCACGCCCGAAGUCGUUACUCCAACCCUUGUGGAGGAGA
rnacentral:rRNA from 1 species